ACACUAAGGAAUUACUCCUUGCAAGACUCAAACUGCUUUCAAACAUUGAACUGCUUUAAGACAUCACUUUUUGUCCCUAAUCUAUAAUAUGGCUAACGAACUUGCUCAUGAAUCCAUGAGAUAUAUUCACAAAUAAAAAGUGGAUAUACUAAAGAUGAUUAUUCAUGUCAACCUAUGUAUUUUCCGAAAAGAAGUGCACUCUCCAUGUGUAUAGUGCUCCCUGGUUAAUGUCUACUAUUCAUAUGAUAACAUAACUUUGCCCCCGACAACAGGUGACUCAUAAUCCACUACUGCAGCGCCAUCAACUUCAACUUCGUCACUCUAUAUAUUCUAUAUGGAUUAUCCUAAGUCAUAGAAUCAGAUGUUAAACAUCUGAUUCUAUGACAUUAUAAGUCACUAAAUGAACAUAAAUCCUACUUAUAUUACACAUAAGUUGUAACCAUUCAUCUGUCUAGAAGCAACCAAUGCAUUCCAAAGUACAUUCAGAUUUUUCUUUUGGCGAAGUUUCUUAGUCACUGGAGUCUUAGGUGUUUCAGAUUCAAUUUUAUUUGGUACGACUUCAGAAAACAAAUUCUUCUUAGUAAAUGAUCGAGAUUACAUAUCAACUCAUUGUUAGGAGAAUCAGAGUCACAAUCGGUGUCCGCUGCUGCUUCUUCAAUAGCUAAAACUUGAGAACACUCAGUGCCACUGUCAAAAUCUUCUUCUUCAAGCAAAGAUUGUAUUUCUUCCGAAGACAAUCUGAAAAUAUUUCGUUAAAUUAGGAGCCCCUGACUACUAUUGACACCUAUUAUUUGUCAUAUAUAUUGCUCAUAACAAUACAUUUGUACAAUAUCGAUAACGAGUUCACAAAAAUAGUAACUAUAAUGCCAUACAAGAUACGUGUAAUAGCUUGUAGGGUUAUAUCGAUACCGAGUGGGCACAUUUGUUCCCACCCUGUAUAUUUAUGCUUAUAAAUAAUGAAAUAAACAUAAUAUAACAAUGAAGUUCUUCAAAAAUAUAGAACAGUUCUAAAUGCAUGAAAUUAUGAGCAAAGAGGAUAUAUAUUACUGUUCGUUUCAUAAAAACGUAAACUUUAAUCCUGAAAAAUUGAGCCCUAUUUCACAACACCUCACUUUAUUUUAUAUGGCUAGUACUGACUGCUAUGUAUGUAAACUUGUAUCAAACAUAUACAAAACUUGUAUGGAACUUGUUAAUUUUUUAUAACAUUGAAAUAUUUUUUGGUGGU
rnacentral:lncRNA from 1 species